rnacentral:tRNA from 1 species
GCAUCGGGCGGGCCGGUGAUGAGGCCCGCAAGCUGCGUACUUGCAGCUGCCGUGGUGGCAACGGUGUUCGCGGCUCCCAGCCACGCCGACGCC